AAAACUGAGACCUCCUGGUCACCCGCCGCCGAGCCUUUCAGAAACUCCCACAAGCUCUGACUUCCCUCACUGGUUCUCUUCAGAACCCCUCUUAGGUGUUAGCGGCUAACAAUAAGCUCGCUCCUUACCACUCCCAAAUCGGCCCCUCUGGAGAGGAAAGGAGAACUUAAGCGGGUCGUGCUUGCCUCCAGCAGCCACCUCGCCCACGGACUGCUCCGCCCCUUCUCCUCCCGCUCCUCCACGCUAGCGCUCAGUGCCAAGUGAGAAGCUGAAACAGAAGGCAGGCAAGGCGCGCAUGCGCACCGAGGGUGGAGCCGCUGAGCAUAAAACCGGAAACUUAGAGACAAAGUUCGUAGCCCCGCCCCCGCCGCGCGCCGCUCAGUUGUCUGGCCCUGUUGACCCACGGCCCACGAUCUACCGACCCACGAAUCAGCCCGGCCCUCUAGUACACCAUGUCUGGCUCCUCCAGCGUCGCCGCUAUGAAGAAAGUGGUUCAACAGCUCCGGCUGGAGGCCGGACUCAACCGCGUAAAAGUUUCCCAGGCAGCUGCAGACUUGAAACAAUUCUGUCUGCAGAAUGCUCAACAUGAUCCUCUGCUGACUGGAGUAUCUUCAAGUACAAAUCCGUUCAGACCCCAGAAAGUCUGUUCCUUUUUGUAGUAAAAUGAAUCUUUUCAAAGGUUUCCCAAACCACUUCUUAUGAUCCAGUGAAUAUUCAAGAGAGCUCCAUUUGAAGCCUGUACAAAAGCUUAUCCCUGUAACACUUGUGCCAUAAUAUACAAACUUCUAUUUCUGUCAGUCCUUAACAUCUACCUCUCUGAAUUUUCAUGAAUUUCUAUUUCACAAGGGUAAUUGUUUUAUAUACACUGGCAGCAGCAUACAAUAAAACUUAGUAAGAAAAGUU